rnacentral:rRNA from 1 species
UACAGAGGUCCCAAGCGUUGUUCGGAUUCACUGGGCGUAAAGGGUGCGUAGGUGGCCGGGUAAGUCUGACGUGAAAUCUCCAAGCUCAACUUGGAAACUGCGUCGGAUACUAUCCGGCUAGAGGAUCGGAGGGGAGACUGGAAUACUUGGUGUAGCAGUGAAAUGCGCAGAUAUCAGGAGGAACACCGGUGGCGAAGGCGGGUCUCUGGGCCGAUACUGACGCUGAGGAGCGAAAGCAUGGGGAGCGAACAGG